rnacentral:rRNA from 1 species
CCAGCAGCCGCGGUAAUACGUAGGGGGCUAGCGUUAUCCGGAAUUACUGGGCGUAAAGGGUGCGUAGGUGGUUUCUUAAGUCUGAUGUGAAAGCCCACGGCUUAACCGUGGAGGGUCAUUGGAAACUGGUUGACUUGAGUGCAGAAGAGGGAAGUGGAAUUCCAUGUGUAGCGGUGAAAUGCGUAGAUAUAUGGAGGAACACCAGUGGCGAAGGCGGCUCUCUGGUCUGUAACUGACGCUGAGGCUCGAAAGCGUGGGGAGCA